rnacentral:lncRNA from 1 species
UUUUUUUUACAGCUGAGGAUGAGUUGGUACCCAACACAUCAAUACAAAGGUGCUAUGUUCUAGGUUUCAGCCUGUCUAUAGCGUUUUGGAGAAGAGUUUCCUUUUCCUAAAAUUCAUCUGAAUAAAUACAAAAUAACUCUCCCAUUAGACCCGCAUGAUUUGAAAUUAUCUUUUUCUGCAUCGUCUGCCCUACUGCUUGUUUCCUAAAAGCCAUGCUUAAUGAAUACUUUCUUAGUCCUCUUCUCUUCCCCCUUCAUACAUUCUUCCCGAGGGACGUUCUCGCCUCCUAUGGCUUCACCUCCCACCCUGAGACUGAUGGCGCCAAAUCCAUGUUUCCAUUGGCAACCGCACUCCUCCACCAUCUUGAUGCACGCCGUCUGGGAAUCUGUCUUCGCUGGGAAGACUGGGAAGGCCGACAAAAGGCACAAACCUAACCUGUUUAAAAAGGAACUCUUUUACCUCCCUUCACCUCCAACGUUCCUCCUGAGAUUCCUCAUUUCAGUCAAUGGCAUCAGCAUGUAGGUUAGACUCAUGAGUUGUAACUGGAUGGUCUAUAUUCGCUUGGUCCCUGACUCUGCCUCUUCGGCCUCAGGCGAGCAUCUCCUGACCGGGCCUCACUGACUCCCCCUGGCUCCUGUGUAUUGGCUCAGACCUUCCUAAGCUCUAGCCCUCACUGCUUCACCCCUUCUAGCUGGCCUUCCUCCUAGUACACUCUCUUCACUGCCUUCACAAUGGCCUCCCGAGGUGUCUUUCCAUUAAAGAAGCUGAUCAUGACGCUCCCCUGCCUAAAGACGGCCGCCCAGAGGAUAAUCUAAAUUCUUUGGCAUGGCACCUAAGACUUUUCACUUCCAGCCUCUUCUUCUUCCCUCCUGCCUUCACUCCACCGCCAUCCCUCCCUGGCAUGCUUUGCUCUAGUCACAUGGAAUCUCUGUUCCCAGAACGAGCUAUUUUUAGCCUUGUACCCCUCCAGGUUAUGUGCAUUCUUCUUCCUUUUAUCUGUCACAAAAUUUCCUCCUUAUCCUUCAAUGCCAGCUGAAAUGAAUCAGCUCAUUCACGAAUUCAUUCACUCAUUUGAUUUUUAGCAUCUAAUAAUUGCAACAAAAAAAAGAAAGAAAGAAAAGAAAAGAAAAGAAAAGAAAAGAAAAAAAGAAAAAGAAGUGUGCUAAGGGAAACCAAACCGACAGGAUCCCUAUUCUCAUGAAGAUAUGGAUUUCUCUUGAAGACUUUCUUGACACUUUUGGCAGUUAAUAAUUUCCUCCCUACCCUCAUAGCAUUCUGUUCAUACCACUAAGAUGGCAGUUAAUAAACCAAAAUGUAAAUAAGUCUGGAUUCCCAACUAGACUAUGAGCUUCUAGGGUUAGCUGCAGAAGGGCUGCAUCAGUGGCUGAAUCUAUGUAUCUCUAUGUGUAAGGAGGCUACUCAACAAAGUGGUUAAGAUCAUGGGUUCUUAGAUAACUACCUGGGUGCCAAUUCUGCCUCUACCAUUCAUAAGCUCUGUAACCUCAGACAACUUAAAAAAAUUUCUCUCUGCUUUGGUUUGUCCUGUUGAAUGAACAUAAUAGUAGUAACCCAUAAGGUUGUAAGGAUUGAAGGAGUUAAUCUAUGAAAAAAUUACUACAGAAUAUGGUAGAUGCUCCAUUUGUUAAUUCCAUUAGGGUGACUAGUAAUAGAAAGCCCCUCCAUAGGAGUUCCCAUUGCGGCUUAGCAGUAGCCAACCUGACUAGUAUCCACGAAGUUGCAGUUUGAUCCCUGGCCCUUCUCAGUGGGUUAAGGAUCUGGCCAUGAGCUGAGGUGUAGGUCGCAUAUGCAGCUCAGAUCUGGCGUUGCGCUGGCUAUGACAGGCUGGCAGCUAUGCAGGAAUUACCAGAUGGUGAACGACAGAAAGACUUCUUGGCUAAAAAGAAGGGCUGAAAGCUGUGGAGAGUCAGGGUGAGGGAUGAGUAUAGCUUCUGUGUGUACUUUUUAUUUCUUUCUCUACUUUUGAAUGGGUGCAAAUGCCUUCAGCUCUCUUGGCCACCUGUCUACCCUUUUCUCACCUUUCUCUUCUCAUCCCCUUUCUCACCUCCCCGAGGGCAUUGAUGGGGGGCCAGAUUGGAGAGGGAGGUACAGACCACUGGAGGAAGAGCAAAGUGAGCUGUCGGAUUAUGUGUACUCUGAGGGGAAGGACACAAUAUUCACUAUCUGUUAUUUUUAUCUAUCUGACGGUGCUAUAUCACCUCAUCACAUACGUGUUUAUGUAUCUUUGCCUUGACCCAGCUCUUGCUCCUCUGCCUAAUUUCCCCUUAUGCCUCAUGACUCUGCCCAGUCAGGGGAGAUCUUCUGUCUCCCCAACAUAUUGUAUUUAAUUGCUGGCUCCUUUUUUUCUGACCCUCCUACUCAAUUCUGCAAUCCUUAAGAGUAUCCCUGUGCCCGGUGCCUUGUAACAGGCCUGUGUGGGACAGGCGUUCAAGAAAUGCUUUUUAAAUGAAUUAAUAACCAUAUAUAUAAAUCGAUGCCACAUAAAGGACAGCAUCUCUUCUUCUNUUUUUUUUUUUUUUGUCUUUUGUCUUUUUAGG